UGCAGAUGAUGUUAUUAAUAUUUGCUAUCUGAACAGCAAUGCUGACAGUCUUCCACCAAGAUCGCUGAUGCA
rnacentral:snoRNA from 1 species